AUGAACGCUGGCGGCGUGCUUAACACAUGCAAGUCGAACGGAAAGGCCCAAGCUUGCUUGGGUACUCGAGUGGCGAACGGGUGAGUAACACGUGGGUGAUCUGCCCUGCACUUCGGGAUAAGCCUGGGAAACUGGGUCUAAUACCGGAUAGGACGAUGGUUUGGAUGCCAUUGUGGAAGGUUUUUUCGGUGUGGGAUGAGCUCGCGGCCUAUCAGCUUGUUGGUGGGGUAAUGGCCUACCAAGGCGUCGACGGGUAGCCGGCCUGAGAGGGUGUACGGCCACAUUGGGACUGAGAUACGGCCCAGACUCCUACGGGAGGCAGCAGUGGGGAAUAUUGCACAAUGGGCGCAAGCCUGAUGCAGCGACGCCGCGUGGGGGAUGACGGCCUUCGGGUUGUAAACUCCUUUCGCUAGGGACGAAGCGUUUUUGUGACGGUACCUGGAGAAGAAGCACCGGCUAACUACGUG
rnacentral:rRNA from 1 species